rnacentral:lncRNA from 1 species
CCACAUCUGCUCCUGGGGGUGCCACCUGUGACACCUGCUUACAGAGACAGGGGAAGGGGCUCAUCUCAGGCUGGCAUCCUCCAGAGCCAAGGAUUUGGGGACCAGUGCUUUCUCAAGGAGGUGCUCAUGGGAGCCAGGAACGGGAGGAAAGCAGUCCUGGCUGGAGCGGGGAGCCCAGACUCCGCCUGAUCCAGUGGGGGCUUCCGGGCCUCAGUGGCUCUUCAGAAGUCUAUCUUGCCCCAGGCCUGGGCGUGGGGCUGUUGGUCCCAGGUUAACCCAGUACCAUAGGGGGAAGCAGUGGCACCAGUGCUCAAGGGCAGCCUCCAAAGGCCAGGUGGUGCCUGCAGGCUGAGUCUGCAGAGGCUGAUGGAUGGGCGCACGGUGCUGGAGGAAGAUUGUCUGGGAAGUAGGCACCAGCCAGUGCACUAUAGGGGCACAGGUCAUUGCAGAGUUCGGGACUAUUUGUGUUCCUAUCACCUCACACAUUUGCCUUGACUUGAGUCAAGAGGAGGACCAUAAGUCCUGUGAAAAAAGGUAGAAAUGAGAUUUCUCAAAACAAAUGAAUCAGUGCUCUGCGGGGAAGGCUUGGUGAGAUCUUUACAUCUGAAAAACAGCUGGCGCAGGCCACAAAGCUGGUGCUGCCCUGGUAAGGCCUCUGGGAGACUGCGCGACCAUGGUUCAGACCAAAGCCGAUGAUUCAGCCCAGUGAUCUGCAGCUGGUGGGUUCGGGUUAGGAUCACCUGUGUGGUCACAUGUGGAUAAAAAUGGAGAAACGUAAUCACUCUGCUUCUGUUUCAUGUAUUCUUCUCUUUCUUUGGAAAACAUCCCAAACUCAGUCUCCACAGAACCCGCCACAGGGACUGCGUGGGAAGUGUGUGGUGUAGCUGAGGAAGGGGACAGGGAACCCAGCUCAGGAUUUGGCCAAGUGAUUCUUCCCCAAGCUCCUGGCUCUGCCUUAACUGCCUAGAAGUACAUCAGGACUGUAACAAGUUCAUCAUGGGAGAGGUUUGACCACCAGGUAAUAUUCCCUGUGGGCAGGGCUCCUGGGUCCAUUUUGAUGGGUCUGUGGUUAGAGUUGACCUGGCAGCUUUGAGAAGGAGAGACUUGUCUGUGCAUGAACAAGAGGAAGGACUGAUGUUGAAGUGGUGGUGCCAUUCCCAUCAGCUGUUCUAUUCCACAGGGCCCAGUAGACCCACGGCCCUGUGUUAGGUCUGGCCAGCUGGCACGGUCACCUACUUCUGACUUUUUCCAAGACUGCAGCCAAAGGAUGGUAUCUCUGAAGGCAAAAAUAUGGCUUGCUGAAAAUGUCCAUCUUCAGUGAAUGAGAUCUGAUUUUUUUCCUAGGAAGAUUUUUGAAAUCUAGAUGGAACCUUCUCCAAACAGGCAGAAACAGUCCAGCCUCCAGGUAAUCUGCUGAGUGAUGCUGUCAUUCCGGAGCACAGGCGAGCUUGUGGGCACUGCACCUGUGACGUGUCAUCCCCAGCACAAGAAUGCCAUCACCCUGAACAGCACUGGAGAAACUGAAGCUGCGGGGAGAUGCUGUGGGAGGGAGCAGGUGCCAGGGCAGCCCUCCUGUGUUGGGGCUUUCUGUGAAGCAGGAAAGGGCUGUGUUUACGACGUGGUGGAGGGAGAGCUGCUGUGGGCAGGUAAGGCCUCCACCCAGGAAGUCAGGAAGAUCAUGGAUGGAAAGGGCUGUCCCAACGGCCCCCAAUUCCCACGCACAGCUUGAAAGCUAGGCUGCACCAGUGCCCUUGGAGAUGCUGCAGCUUGUUCCUGGAAGUCAGCAGUCCUGCCCAGGAAAUGUGUGUGUGCACAGCUCACCCCCAAAGACCACGGCUCUGCGGGAGGACCCUGGGGGUCGAGGUCUCCACCUCCUAAGGGCAGUGGUGAGACACACACCUGUUCAUGUUGGCUGACAUCGAGUGUGUUACCUCUGAGCACUAGCGUGUCUCAUGGGCGAUAUCCACUUCCUGCAUUCUUAAAGAUGAGUUGGUUGGCUGCAGUGUUGAAGUUUCCCAAGGUUUUAGAUCGGAGAGAAAGCAGUUAUGACCCAGCAAGUACUAAUGUUAAUAAUAGUCUCCACGGAGUGCUGUGGCAGCAGGAGCCGCAGUGAGAGGCAACCCAGCAGUGAAGGAAGAGGGAGCCACUUGGGGAACCGUGUGGUUCAGAGAUGCCCGGGUAGAAAAGGACCAGAAAAGGGCUCCCUGGGCUACACGGCCGGAGCUCCCUGGCAACCCUGGAGUGGAAGGGCAGGAACCAGCCUGCAGUGGACGGAGGCGCCAGGAGGUGGUGAGAAGUGAAAACGAGAACCUGGGCCACUUUCCAGGCUCUGCUGCUUGGGGAGGAGAGAAGCUCGAGAGCUCCAGGUUCACAGAGGAUGCCUUCAGUACGGGAGAAGCUCCAGCAAGUUUGCUUGUGAACGGAAAAGAGCCGUGAGCUACGGGGUGAUGAAAACACAGAAUCAGCAGAGAGUUUUGGGCUCCUGAGGUCCUCGGAGCUAAGGAGAGGGGCUCAGGACAGGACGGAAGCGACUUGAACUCCGCACCGUGUCCCUGUCACCAGCAGCCAUCCCACAGGGCCACGGGACACCAGGACCUCUUCCUCCCAGCCAGAAGCAAUGGUGUGUCCUCUAACGAAGCUCUCCCUGCGAAGCAGCAGUUCCUGGGAUGAAAGGAGCUCACGCCGGAGGAGGACGUUGAUCUGAAGGCCGCAGCCACAGAGCUCUCCGGACUGGGGAUGGCUGAGACACAGCCUGGGCUGGACUGAACAGCUUCCAGAGGAGAACGGACAGGUGCCACGUGGUCAGGGAAGCCCCCACGGAGUCCGACGUGGCGGUGACUGCGGAUGCCCCACGGUGAGCCCGAGUCCAAGGGAGCAAAGAAGGAGAGGGCGUGUUUGGCUGCGUGAAAACAGUAGGAACGUUCUGAAAUCACGGAAUCCUUAUGAGAAGAACUCGUCAUCCAAUACCCAACAGGAGCUGCUCCUGCCCCGGUCUUCACAACGCGAGGGCUCCAUCCUCCGUGAUCCUUGAUAGCUCAGCUCUAGGAUCUUCACAACGAGAGGGCUCCGUCCUCUGUGGUCCUUGAUAGCUCAGCUCUAGGGCCGCGCACAUUCUUGGUAGAGUGGGACGUGUCUGCUGUUUUUCUAAAAGCUAUUUUUUAAAGGCCUCUGCAACACACAACAUACGUUCUUUUAAACCGCAGUGAAAACUUGAAUGUAAAAAUGGGCCUCACGGGAAUCUUUUCAAUAUUUUACAUUUCUUCGGAUACUUUUCAAAGCCCCUCCAUUUCUCCACCUCCCCUUUCUCAUCUGGUCUCAGCCGGCACAGUGUGGCACGGAGGUGGACCGAUUUCCUCAGGACACCACAGCCAAAGCUCGGAAAACCAGGUUUCCUGAGUUUCAGUUCAGCCAUCCACGACUGUGGUGACAGGCAUCGUGUCUUUCUCUUUAAGAAAAAAAGAAAAUUGUAUAUAAAUCACUGCUUUCAGCUCAGCAGGGAUGAAGUUGUGAGGAUGGUGCCUUCCUCAGGGUGGGACCCCAGUGGGGAUGAGAAUCAGCAGGGCCCUAGGCCCCAGCAGUGGCUUUCGCAUGAUUGAGAAGUAAGCCUUUCUUUGUUUUAAGCCCCUAGGAUUCAGGGAGAUGCUUGUCAAGGCAGCAUAACCCAGUUUUCCCUGACUGAUACAACCCCUAACCUUACACCAUGAAUUAGAAAUACAUGUCUGAAGCAUAAGAGGCUUAGACAUCAUUGGAUUCAACCCCCGAUUUAAUAGCUGAGAAAACACAAAUGUCCAUAAUCUUGGCCAACAUGCUUGUCUGUGAUUGGAGCUGUGACAAUGGAACCCACGUCCCUUUGGGAGGGGUCUAAGUUUUGGAGACCUCAGUCUGGCCAGUACUUCCCUCACCACCUCAACAGCCUUGGCCUUUCCUCUCAUUUUGUGCCCCUAGAGGAACCCCUACCCUCCACGCCCGGCCGUCCAUCCAUCAGCUAUGGACAGCAGCUCUUCUGCUGCCCGGAAUGUACCUGCAGAAAUGUGGACAGUGGUGACCUGGGCAAGCAGAGCUCGGGGUCAGGGGUGCUCCCCUCAGCACCCAACUUAGAGAGGGGAGAGAGGGAGGGGCUCAAGCAGUGAUGUGGAACUCUCCAGGACCAUGCAAGGUGGGAUGCCCAGUCAACAGGCGGUUGGCAACAGAGUGUUUGGGGAUCUUCUGUUUACCACACCUGAUGCUUGAACCCUCUCUGCCUUCACCCCUAGCCAGCCCAAUGGUGUUGCACUGGAUGUUGCCAGGUGGUCUUAUGGAUUCAAAUUCUUUCUCAGGUUGAGAAGAGAUGCUCUUAGUAACAGAGCUUCAUGAUGUUGGCUCUUUCUGGGAAACAAUUCUUGAGAGGGGAGAGAGAAAUUCCAUGCAGGCCCGCCACAAAGCAUGGGGGUGUAAGGGAGUGGGGGACAGAGGUGAGGGAGAGCUGGGCACUGUGCAAAGGCCUCUCCAAGAUGUGGGUUGAUAUGGGGUGAGGGGCUCUAGGGCAGCCAGUGUUUUGCAGAGUGUGUUGGUGGGGGCUGCAGAAUAGACCCCACCUCACAGAAAGGCUGGGAGUUCCUUCUUCCCACCACAGCGCAGACCCAUCAGAGCUCCAGCUUCCAGACCAACUGAGGGGCCCAGGCACCACUUUGGAAACUGCUCUGCUAGGAAGAGGCAGCGUCGUGAGUGAUGUCUAGUUUAAGUCCAUGUUAAUUAGAGAAUAUAUAAUUGUGAUUGUGAUUAACCAUGGUAUGCUAUUCCUCGUGCUUAUUCUGCUUGGGGUUUGUUGAGAUUCUUACAUCUGUGUUUGUAUUUUAAAUUUUAAUUUGGGAAAACUUUUGGCCAUUAUUUCUUCAAAUACAUUUUAUGUCCUCUCUGUGACUUCAAGUAUCUGUGUACUCGAUACACUCAACCUCUUUUUAAUUUUUUUCGUUUUCUUAU